UCUCCCCACUUCUCCCUUUUCCCCUGCCUUCUCUUUCCGCUCCAUAAACCACUAAAUAAACUCUAAACCUAAACUCUCUCUGCAUGACACAUCUGUCUGUCUCCCAUCAAGGCCUCAGGCCACCCACCAGAGACCCACUGAGUCCUUGGAUGGCCUGCAGCUGCCCUGCUGAGACCUCAGGUGACCCACCGCUGCCACUCAUUGGACCAACCUUGCAUCACUCACAUGUCUUUAUAAAUGAUAACAUUGGUGCAUGACUCAGCCAGGCUCUCUCUAUGUUCCCUCCUGCUGACUGAGGACAGGUGGAGACUCUGGACUUUGGAUCACUUUCAACCUUCUGUGUCUGUUCCAUUGCUGCAAAUGAAAACGGCAAGAUUAGUUGAAUUCACAAGGCAACUGCUUCCAGUUCCAGCUCUCGCUCCCAGCCACAGCCAGUGGUGCAGCAGAUCGAGGACACAGUGGCUCAUGACUGAGAAAACAACAAGUCUCAUAUUUUAAAUUGGUCCAAGAGACACCAGAUUGUUCCAUACCACAAAUCCUGGACAGGAAUAAAGCAACCAACUACCCCAGGAUGUGACCAGCACCCACCUUUCUCAGCCACACCCUAAGAAAGACUUUCAUGUUCAUAAAGACGCCGAACCUGGGAGGAGCCUUGAAGAAGGAGAUUGUUCACUGGGCUCCCUACACAGCACUGCUCCAUCCAUGCUGAGCACUGACUCCACACUCCGCUGCUGAGGGAAAUUAGUUCACCAGAAAUGAAGGUUCAUUUGUGGGUUAAGCCCAUUGAACCUCUCAUGGUCCAGAAAGAUAAACUAUGGAAGGCAAAGGCCUGGCUAAUUAGAUCUGAGGGUAAAAUAAAAUAACUCACAUACGUAA